rnacentral:rRNA from 1 species
UGGGGAAUAUUGGACAAUGGGCGCAAGCCUGAUCCAGCCAUGCCGCGUGAGUGACGAAGGUCUUCGGAUUGUAAAACUCUUUUGGCGGGGACGAUAAUGACGGUACCCGCAGAAUAAGCCCCGGCUAACUUCGUGCCAGCAGCCGCGGUAAUACGAAGGGGGCUAGCGUUGUUCGGAAUCACUGGGCGUAAAGCGCACGUAGGCGGAUGUGCCAGUCAGGGGUGAAAUCCCGGAGCUCAACUCCGGAACUGCCUCUGAUACAGCACGUCUUGAGUUCGAGAGAGGUGGGUGGAAUUCCUAGUGUAGAGGUGAAAUUCGUAGAUAUUAGGAAGAACACCGGUGGCGAAGGCGGCCCACUGGCUCGAUACUGACGCUGAGGUGCGAAAGCGUGGGUAGCAAACAGGAUUAGAUACCCAAGUAGUCCCUGAGCGGGCUGGCAAGGCGCAU